CAGCCGCCGCGGUAAUACGAAGGGUGCAAGCGUUACUCGGAAUUACUGGGCGUAAAGCGUGCGUAGGUGGUGGUUUAAGUCCGUUGUGAAAGCCCUGGGCUCAACCUGGGAAUUGCAGUGGAUACUGGAUCACUAGAGUGUGGUAGAGGAUAGUGGAAUUUCCGGUGUAGCAGUGAAAUGCGUAGAGAUCGGAAGGAACAUCUGUGGCGAAGGCGACUAUCUGGGCCAACACUGACACUGAGGCACGAAAGCGUGGGGAGCAAACAGGAUUAGAUACCCGUGUAGUCCCUGUCUCUUAUAC
rnacentral:rRNA from 1 species